rnacentral:rRNA from 1 species
UACGUAGGUGGCAAGCGUUGUCCGGAAUUAUUGGGCGUAAAGCGCACGUAGGCGGCUUCUUAAGUCAGGGGUGAAAUCCUGGAGCUCAACUCCAGAACUGCCUUUGAUACUGGGGAGCUCGAGUCCGGGAGAGGUGAGUGGAACUGCGAGUGUAGAGGUGAAAUUCGUAGAUAUUCGCAAGAACACCAGUGGCGAAGGCGGCUCACUGGCCCGGUACUGACGCUGAGGUGCGAAAGCGUGGGGAGCAAACAGG